GACGAACGCUGGCGGCGUGCCUAAUACAUGCAAGUCGAACGAACUCUGGUAUUGAUUGGUGCUUGCAUCAUGAUUUACAUUUGAGUGAGUGGCGAACUGGUGAGUAACACGUGGGAAACCUGCCCAGAAGCGGGGGAUAACACCUGGAAACAGAUGCUAAUACCGCAUAACAACUUGGACCGCAUGGUCCGAGCUUGAAAGAUGGCUUCGGCUAUCACUUUUGGAUGGUCCCGCGGCGUAUUAGCUAGAUGGUGGGGUAACGGCUCACCAUGGCAAUGAUACGUAGCCGACCUGAGAGGGUAAUCGGCCACAUUGGGACAGAGACACGGCCCAAACUCCUACGGGAGGCAGCAGUAGGGAAUCUUCCACAAUGGACGAAAGUCUGAUGGAGCAACGCCGCGUGAGUGAAGAAGGGUUUCGGCUCGUAAAACUCUGUUGUUAAAGAAGAACAUAUCUGAGAGUAACUGUUCAGGUAUUGACGGUAUUUAACCAGAAAGCCACGGCUAACUACGUGCCAGCAGCCGCGGUAAUACGUAGGUGGCAAGCGUUGUCCGGAUUUAUUGGGCGUAAAGCGAGCGCAGGCGGUUUUUUAAGUCUGAUGUGAAAGCCUUCGGCUCAACCGAAGAAGUGCAUCGGAAACUGGGAAACUUGAGUGCAGAAGAGGACAGUGGAACUCCAUGUGUAGCGGUGAAAUGCGUAGAUAUAUGGAAGAACACCAGUGGCGAAGGCGGCUGUCUGGUCUGUAACUGACGCUGAGGCUCGAAAGUAUGGGUAGCAAACAGGAUUAGAUACCCUGGUAGUCCAUACCGUAAACGAUGAAUGCUAAGUGUUGGAGGGUUUCCGCCCUUCAGUGCUGCAGCUAACGCAUUAAGCAUUCCGCCUGGGGAGUACGGCCGCAAGGCUGAAACUCAAAGGAAUUGACGGGGGCCCGCACAAGCGGUGGAGCAUGUGGUUUAAUUCGAAGCUACGCGAAGAACCUUACCAGGUCUUGACAUACUAUGCAAAUCUAAGAGAUUAGACGUUCCCUUCGGGGACAUGGAUACAGGUGGUGCAUGGUUGUCGUCAGCUCGUGUCGUGAGAUGUUGGGUUAAGUCCCGCAACGAGCGCAACCCUUAUUAUCAGUUGCCAGCAUUAAGUUGGGCACUCUGGUGAGACUGCCGGUGACAAACCGGAGGAAGGUGGGGAUGACGUCAAAUCAUCAUGCCCCUUAUGACCUGGGCUACACACGUGCUACAAUGGAUGGUACAACGAGUUGCGAACUCGCGAGAGUAAGCUAAUCUCUUAAAGCCAUUCUCAGUUCGGAUUGUAGGCUGCAACUCGCCUACAUGAAGUCGGAAUCGCUAGUAAUCGCGGAUCAGCAUGCCGCGGUGAAUACGUUCCCGGGCCUUGUACACACCGCCCGUCACACCAUGAGAGUUUGUAACACCCAAAGUCGGUGGGGUAACCUUUUAGGAACCAGCCGCCUAAGGUGGGACAGAUGAUUAGGGUG
rnacentral:rRNA from 1 species